AGCAAAGUUGCCUGACAUUGUUCCAGCCGAGGGACCUUGGUUUAAGAGGCCUACCCAAUGCAUUCUUACAUCUGACCUGUAGUGUGCCACACAAUCACAGGGGCAGGGAAUAAACUGAAGAACAAAUCACAGCCUUGAUCUUCUUGAAACUCUGAUGGGGGAAGAGCCAAGGCUGCAGAUAGUCUGGUGGAGGUGGGCAGAAGGCACAAUGGAAGCACAAAGGCAGCAGCCCUUAACUGCCUGGACGGGAGAGGGAAGACUUCUAGAAGAAGUGAUUUGGGAGCUAAGAUCCACAGUGCCGGUGAGAAAAAUAUUUAAGAGUAUGAGAAAAGUUUUAGCUAAUGGAGUGUUCAGGAUAGGCCUGUUUGUCUAGGCGACCUUACUCUGAUUCCAGCUAUCAUCCGAUUCAUCCAGUGACCCUUGAGCUAGGGUCAAGGAACCCUCUGAUUCUGAUGUGGCUCCUUACCCUCUGUUAAUUUAUUAAAUACAUGUUAUGGAAGACACUGUUCCAGGCUCUGGAUGCACAGUACUGAAUAAGACAGCAAAACUAUCAUUCCUGUGGGGGAGGCUUCAUACAAAGCAAUAUGUACAAAUAAGUGUGUAAUAUGUCUCCUAGUGAUAAGCGCUUUCAGACAGAUAAAGCAAGGGUAAAGGGGGUGCUGCUUAUAUAACCACAGGCUUUUGCUCACAUAUUAUUCCCCCAUAUGGCUAUCUGGGGAGAGAAGAAGAUGUUGGGCAAGUUCAAAGGCCCUGAGGAGAGACUACACCUGACGUGUUGAGGUCUCACGAGUAAGUUGAUGUGGCUGGAAGAGUGACGGGGUAUGUGGUUGGAGAGGCACCUGGAGCUGCCAUGGGAACUGGAAGCUUCUUCUGAGAUGAGAAGUCUUUGGAGGAUUUUGAACUGGGAGCUGUCAUCAUCAGAUGUCUAUGGCAGGCCAACAGGAAACUCCAUAUUCUGUGCAUUUUCAUGUUCACAGCGGCUUUACUUAUAUCAGCCCCAACUGACAACAACACAGAUGUCCUGCUGGGUAUGAAUGAGAAAGAAAAAGACUAUAUACUGUGGUUUCCAGUUUGUGCUCAUGACAGAGAGUCAAACAUUCUGCUGCGGAGAGACUCCCAGGAGCGACCCGCCACACCCAGCAAGUUCCCCUGGGACGGGCACAGUUGCAGUGUGGGGACGCCUCCUUGACAGUCUCCAACAUGCCAGAGAGUUCGAGAAGAUUCUUCUGCUAGCUGAGGGUGGGGUUUUUUCCUCCACAUGCAUAUCCGUGGGAAGCAUUUCCAGAGGAAAUGAACAAAUGAGGACCCCGAGGCUCUCAAAGCCAAGACAACUGCUAUUCCCACUGGUCUCAGUGACUCCCAGGAGGAAAACAUUUGGCAACGUAAGCCCACACCUCUGAUGCUGGCAAAGAACGGGUCCCUCGAGGUGAGGAAACAGAAGAAACCACAGGCCAGGCUCACAGCCACGGCGCAUCCCUGAGGGGCUGGUCCCAGAGCAAGGAGCCCUGUCCGAGCAAAAACCCUUUCUGGAAAGAGACUGUUCUAGACCAUCAAGCCCGCGGGCAUGAAGACUGCCGAGCUUAACCUUCUAUUCCCUCUACAGAAGAUGAGGUUUCAAAAUAAGGGUCAUAGAGGCAGCUCCCUGGUGGCCCAGCAGGUAAGGUGCCAGCAUUGUCACUGCUGUGGCUCAGGUUCUACCACUGGCCCAGGAACUUCUGCAUGUCGCAGGCACAGCCAAGAAAAUGAAAGAAAAAUUAUUGUUUGCUUUUUUUUUUUUUUUUUUUUUUUUUUAGGGCCACAGUUGCAGCACAUGGAAGUUCCCAGGGUAAGGGUCAUAUCGGAGCUACAGCUGCAGGCCUGCGUCACAACCAGAGCAAUGCCAGAUCCAAACCGUGUCUGCACCCUACACCACAGCUCACGGUAACGGCAGACCCUUAACCCACUGAGUGAGGCCAGGGACUGAACCCAUAUCCUCAUGGAUACCAGUCAGAUGGGUUUCUGCUGGUAUAUUCUUGUCUGUGCGUAAUGAACACAACCGCCCCUCAUACCACACAAAUGCAGAAAACUGCUGUAGCAUAAGUGCUAUUUUGUCCUCUGCCUGGUGGUUUUAAUUAUACUUUUUUCUCUUUUUUCUGGCCGCACCUGCAGCAUGUGGAAGUUCCUGGGUCAGGGAUCAAACCCGUGUCACAGCAGCAAGCCAAGCCACAGCAGUGUCAACACUGGAUCUUUAACCUGCUGAACCACCAGAGAGAGGACUCCUGAAAACUCAAAAUCUUAAAGCUUGAAAUAACACUGCCGCCUGAAUAUCUUUCACUGUCACUGUAUAUAAUAGCACAACAGAUAAAAAAGUGUAUCAGGUCAAUACAUGUUGAAAAAGUGAAUAAAAGAGGAAUGCGGCCCGGGCGGGUGCUCC
rnacentral:lncRNA from 1 species